rnacentral:rRNA from 1 species
GAUCCUGCCAGUAGUCAUAUGCUUGUCUCAAAGAUUAAGCCAUGCAUGUCUCAGUACAAGCCAAAUUAAGGUGAAACCGCGAAAGGCUCAUUAAAUCAGUUAUGGUUCCUUAGAUCGUACCCACAUUUACUUGGAUAACUGUGGUAAUUCUAGAGCUAAUACAUGCAAACAGAGCUCCAACCGGAGACGGAAGGAGUGCUUUUAUUAGAUCAAAACCAAUCGGCGGCAGUAGCGUUUCGGCGUUAUUGUUCGUCGCACUGUUUGGUGACUCUGAAUAACUUUCUGCUGAUCGCACGGUCUCGCACCGGCGACGCAUCUUUCAAAUGUCUGCCUUAUCAACUGUCGAUGGUAGGUUCUGCGCCUACCAUGGUUGUAACGGGUAACGGGGAAUCAGGGUUCGAUUCCGGAGAGGGAGCCUGAGAAACGGCUACCACAUCCAAGGAAGGCAGCAGGCGCGCAAAUUACCCACUCCCGGCACGGGGAGGUAGUGACGAAAAAUAACGAUACGGGACUCAUCCGAGGCCCCGUAAUCGGAAUGAGAACACUUUAAAUCCUUUAACGAUUAGCAAUUCGAGGGCAAGUCUGGUGCCAGCAGCCGCGGUAAUUCCAGCUCGAAUAGCGUAUAU